UUCUGCCCUAUGAUUAUUUAAAUGGCUGCAGUAUUUUGACUGUGCAAAGGUAGCAUAAUAAUUAGUCAUUUAAUUGUUGACUGGAAUGAAUGAAUAUAUGAGAUAUUAAUUUUAUUAAUUUUAAAAAUUAAAUUUUAUCUUUAGGUAAAAAAGCUUAAUUUCAUUUUAGGGACGAUAAGACCCUAUAGAACUUUAUAAUUUUUAUUUAUAUAAAUAUUUUGAAUUAUGUAUCUUAUAUAAUCUAAUAGAUUAUUUAGUUGGGGUGAUUAGUAAAUAUAACUUUACUUCUAUUCUUCACUUAUAUGUGUAAUUUAUGAUCCAUAAGUUUAGAUAUUAAGUUUAAGUUACCUUAGGGAUAACAGCGUAAUUUUGGUGGGGAGUUCAUAUUUAUACUAAAGUUUGCGACCUCGAUGUUGAAUUAAGAUAAGUGAUUGGGGUAG
rnacentral:rRNA from 1 species